ACCAUAGAAUGAUUGUCACUGCGAAUUUAUGUAACUACUUUAUGUUGGCUUCCCCAAAUGAAUUGUCACUUCAAUAUUAACUUGUAUAGUAGACACAGUUGGAAAGGUAAAAAAGGUAUUUGGCCAAGAUUCUAUAACCUAGUCAACUUUGUAGCAGGAGGAUUAAAUUUUCAAAGUUGUUUCUGUUGGUAUGGCAUUUGUCUGUCUGAGAAACCUAAUUAUCUAGACAGGAGAUUCGGUUACUGGACAACGACGUUGCAUUCAAUGAAGCUGUAAUUGAGGAACGAGAAUGUGGAAUUGAAGAGAUUCAGGGCCAAGUUAGAGAAGUAAAUGAGAUGUUUAAAGACCUUGCAGUUUUAGUUAAUGAGCAGAGCAGGACUGUUGACGACAUUGAACAUGGUAUCGAGGUUUCUGCUGUCUCAACGACCCAAGCUAAGCUGCAGCUCUCUAAGGCAUCGAAAAGUGGAAAUUCUAAAACCUCUUGGUGUUGGUGGAUGCUGGCAAUUAUAGUGAUCGUCAUCCUGGUCAUACUACUCGUUCUUUUUCUGUAGCAUGAUGCAUUCAUCGUCUUCGGAGCUACAGACCUCUUCGUUGUUCGAGCAUAUGCUGUAUAUAUGUAGAUUGUAUUGUGUAAAUUAUUAGAUUUUUCUAGUCAUUUUUCUGCUAUCUAUGUUAUGCAUAUAUACUAGCUUUCCAGUUGCGUUUUAAGGUGGAGUUUUAUUAAAUGAACAAAGAUUGAAUUUGUAUGUAUGUUCUUAAAUUUGUCGCAGUAGAAAAGGUGAGAACUAUAUAGUUGAUACAAUCCUUGUGCAAAAUAGUUUCAACUUUCAAAUGAUUCUAUUUUAUUGUUUC